rnacentral:rRNA from 1 species
GAUGAACGCUGGCGGCGUGCCUAAUACAUGCGAGUCGAGCGAACAGACGAGGAGCUUGCUCCUCUGACGUUAGCGGCGGACGGGUGAGUAACACGUGGAUAACCUACCUAUAAGACUGGGAUAACUUCGGGAAACCGGAGCUAAUACCGGAUAAUAUAUUGAACCGCAUGGUUCAAUAGUGAAAGACGGUUUUGCUGUCACUUAUAGAUAGAUCCAGGCGGCAUUAGCUAGUUGGUAAGGUAACGGCUUACCAAGGCGACGAUGCGUAUCCGACCUGAGAGGGUGUUCGGCCACACUGGAACUGAGACACGGUCCAGACUCCUACGGGAGGCAGUAGUAGGGAAUCUUCCGCAAUGGGCGAAAGCCUGACGGAGCAACGCCGCGUGAGUGAUGAAGGUCUUCGGAUCGUAAAACUCUGUUAUUAGGGAAGAACAAAUGUGUAAUUAACUAUGCACGUCUUGACGGUACCUAAUCAGAAAGCCACGGCUAACUACGUG